GCAGGGGUGGUUCAUUGGUAGAAUGCCCACCUGCCAUGGGGGAGACCCGGGUUCAAUUCCCGGCCAAUGUA
rnacentral:tRNA from 1 species